rnacentral:lncRNA from 1 species
UUGAUCCAUAAAUCAUCCUACUGAAAAGGUUCAAGAAAUGUUUCUUUAUUUUAAAAUUUUAAAUUUUGAUUGUAGAAAAGGAAAAAAGAAUUGAGCUAACACUGGUCAAUCAAGGAGGAAACCUCCAUAUCAUCAAGCUAAUAAUACACUCAUCGUCAAAGUCUUUAUAUAUUAUAAUAAACUUGAAAUUCCUUUUGGUAAGUUCUCUUCAACCUACCCCAUGUCAUACUGAAGUCGUCAUCACCAAACAAAUAUAUGCCAAAGAACUAAGCAACAAGGGCAGGUCAUGGUAUUAGCUUGUAAUGAAAGGAAGAAGAGCAGAAUGUGCUAAAAAUGUAGGCCAGACACCUAAAUUUGCAUCAAUGAAGGUACCACCAUAAGAAUUUAUGGUUUCACAAUAAUGUGAUGAUAAGGCUGCAGCUUGAGGAAGAUCAAGAUGAAUGAAAGUGGAUGGCCAGAUAAGGAGAAAAAACAAUAGGCUCGUGACUCUCCUAUAUGCUCGACAUUAAAAUCUAAUAAAGAGAACUGAGCUUGAGAAUUGGAUAAAUAUAAGCUUAGCAACUAAAUAAAUCUCAAAGAAAAACACCCUUGAGGUGAACCUAAGAAGCCUGAUAGAGCUUUGCAAUUUCUAGCAGGUACUCUUGUUUUUAGUAUGAUAGCAAGAUUUAGCACCAAUCCAUGUGACAAAACAUACAUGACAGCUUCUUAACUUGAGCUAGUCUCCGCUUGAGGGCAGCUCCUGUACCGAUAUUUGAGGCAUUUUUUUAAAUUACUUUUACCCUAUUAUGGAUUUUUAUACAGGUUACAUCUUUCAUGCUGACAACAUCUUUUCAUCCAAAAAGUCAAUACAUAGCAAACACUUUGAUUGCCAUGUAUGAUAUAGUUGAUCUUUCUAUUGAAUUAGCUUCUUUGAGCUCACUAAAACAACAUAAAAAGAAUUGAUUGAAAAUAAAAAAUAUAUAUAUCUUUACUACUAGUCCAAAAAGAAUCAUGUUAGGUCCAGUUUCCUACUCCUAAUGAAGUCUAAUUAGAUUCUUUUAAGUGAUGUUAGAGUC